CUGAGUUUACGCUCUAUAACCCUUUGUGAACAUACCUAUAACUGUUGCUUCGGCGGGUAGGGUCUCCGCGACCCUCCCGGCCUCCCGCCUCCGGGCGGGUCGGCGCCCGCCGGAGGAUAACCAAACUCUGAUUUAACGACGUUUCUUCU
rnacentral:misc_RNA from 1 species